UACUGGCUCAGGAUGAACGCUAGCUACAGGCUUAACACAUGCAAGUCGAGGGGCAGCAUUGGAGUAGCAAUACUUCAGAUGGCGACCGGCGCACGGGUGAGUAACACGUAUCCAACCUGCCGCUUACUCGGGGAUAGCCUUUCGAAAGAAAGAUUAAUACCCGAUGGUAUAAAGAGUUCGCAUGUUCUCUUUAUUAAAGAGUUUCGGUAAGCGAUGGGGAUGCGUUCCAUUAGAUAGUUGGCGGGGUAACGGCCCACCAAGUCUACGAUGGAUAGGGGUUCUGAGAGGAAGGUCCCCCACAUUGGAACUGAGACACGGUCCAAACUCCUACGGGAGGCAGCAGUGAGGAAUAUUGGUCAAUGGACGAGAGUCUGAACCAGCCAAGUAGCGUGAAGGAUGACUGCCCUAUGGGUUGUAAACUUCUUUUAUAAGGGAAUAAAGUGAGGGACGUGUCCCUUUUUGUAUGUACCUUAUGAAUAAGGAUCGGCUAACUCCGUGCCAGCAGCAGC
rnacentral:rRNA from 1 species